AGUGAACGCUGGCGGCGUGCUUAACACAUGCAAGUCGCACGAGAAAAGGCUUCGGCCCUAGUAAAGUGGCGCACGGGUGAGUAACACGUGAAUAACGUCCCUCCGGGUGGGGAAUAACGUUCCGAAAGGAGCGCUAAUACCGCAUAAGACCACGUCGCCGCGAGGUGAUGAGGCCAAAGCCGCAAGGCGCCUGGAGAUCGGUUCGCGUCCCAUUAGGUAGUUGGCGGGGUAAGAGCCCACCAAGCCUGAGAUGGGUAGCUGGUCUGAGAGGAUGAUCAGCCACAUUGGGACUGAGACACGGCCCAAACUCCUACGGGAGGCAGCAGUGGGGAAUCUUGCGCAAUGGGCGAAAGCCUGACGCAGCAACGCCGCGUGAGUGAUGAAGGCCCUCGGGUCGUAAAGCUCUGUCAGAAGGGAAGAAUAAAUGACGG
rnacentral:rRNA from 1 species